AUUGAACGCUAGCGGGAUGCUUUACACAUGCAAGUCGAACGAGUGGCGGACGGGUGAGUAAUAUAUCGGCACGUGCCCAGUAGAGGGGGAUAACUACUCGAAAGAGUGGCUACUACUGCAAAAUAUUGGAGCGGCCGAUAUCGGAUUAGCUAGUUGGUGGGGUAAAGGCACACAACGGCAACGAUCCGUAGCUGGUUUGAGAGGACGACCAGCCACACUGGGACUGAGACACGGCCCAGACUCCUACGGGAGGCAGCAGUGGGGAAUGUUGGACAAUGGGUGAAACCCUGAUCCAGCAAUCCCGCGUGUAUGAGAAGGCCUUCGGGUUGUAAAGUACUUUUGUCAGAGAAGCGGUAUCUGCAGAAUAAGCACCGGCUAACUACGUGCCAGCCGCCGCGGUAAUAC
rnacentral:rRNA from 1 species